UAAUUCUUUAAUAUUAUGCAUUAUCUUAAUGACUCCCAUGAAGCAGAGGGAAAAUGUCAAAAAAUACGCAGGGAAACUAGAAACAAAGAAGAGAAAGGAGAAACAUCCAUGAGUAAUACUCCCUAUUAUUAUGGAUUUAUAAAAGUGUACCAAAGCUUAUUAGACAGCUUGAUAUUUGACUGCACAUUGCUCCUAAAUUCAUCAUAUUUCUUCAUGGUUAAAUAAAAUACAUAUUAAUAAUGAAGACAAAAAGAAAAACUGUCUUCAGUUUUUCAAUUACAAGGAUUAUAACCUUUAUUUUAGAGUAAAUACCAGCUGGGUGAAAAAUCCAGGCCAAUCAACAUGCAUGAAAGUCACCUACAUCAUGAUUACCAAAUCUUUAUAAUAUGAGAAGAAAAAGGAAACAUGGUAUGAAGAGUCUCUAGAUAGAACAUCAAAUAUCGAAGCAUCUUACCCAGGUUUUUAUGUAGGUUACUGUCUAUUUCAACAAUAUGGAGGUAAUUUCCCCAAACCUGCCACAGUCUGACUCCUCUCAAGGCUGGGCACUGGGUGCAUGAAGUCAAGUCUGGACACAGCCUUUGCCUUUGCCAGUAAUUGCAGAGUUGAGGAGAGGACAGGCCCUGGGCAUGGUUCUAGUGAAUAAUUCAUCAGGACGGCCACUGGCUGGGGAAUAUCUUUCUUCCACUGAUUACUUGCUUUUUAUCCACACAUUUAUCUUCAUUAAAGACUUUGUUUCCUCUCAAAUACUUGUCUCUAAUUUUUUCCACUUAAAGCUAUUUAUUUUCUCUCCUGGCUUUGAGUUUUUAGAUACACUCUUUUUUCUUUCUCUUUCUUUCUUCUUUUUUUUUUUUUUUUUAACCAAUACCAGUAUUAACCACAAAUUCCCAAUGCAAUGAAAGUUUAAAUCCUCAGAUUACUUUUACUAUUGAGAUUUAACCAAAUGUCACAAUAUUGGGUCUUGACAUCAUUACUAUAUGGUACAGACUAAUGGAAAUUAGACUCCAAUAACUAUUCUGACUCUUCACUAGGGAUUUCUUUUAUGUGAAGAUAAUGAUCAGUCUUUCCUUGCCAAGGGCAGGUUUCAGUGUACAAAGCUAAACUUCUAAACAAAUCAAUUCAAAGUAAUUUUUCAAGUGAAUGUUUGAUUUUUUUAUAUUCCAAAUUUAUAGAACUAUAUAUGUUCUUAGUCAAUGUAAACUUUAUUUUCCUUCUCUCUGCACGUUAGUUGUAUUAAGGGGGAAAAAUUAAUGAUUUUUUUUACAUUGUAUGUUUUUUAAACAAUUAUAUGCGCAUGAUUAUUAUGAUUCUGUUGCAAUGAUAUUUUUAUCAUAUACUGCAUUCUAACCUUAUGAUUUUAUUAAUGAUUAAUAUAAUUCAUGAAAAUAUU